CACAUUUACGUAGGACCCACACAAACUACUCUCUACGAGCAGGAUCACAGAAGUUUUCUUCACUCUACAAUAAUUUAUUUGUCUAUUAAUACAUGCUCUUUAUAGAGCCUUUUGAUAACUGACGCAAACCCGAUGAAAAAACCAUAACACUUAUCUAUUAAAAACUGUAAUAAAAAAUGAACUUGAUCCAUAGUUCCAACAGUUUCAUCCUCUAUAUACUAUCUUUUGUUUUCCCUUGGAUCUAAGUGGGUUGGCAGGUGAACUUUGAUGCUGUUUUUUUUUCUCCUUGCACUUGUUGAUAGGCGUAUCCAAAACUGUAUGGCGAUGAUACCCCCAGGCUCUUUGUUUUCUGGACUUCUCAGAAUUACCAAAAUGGAUGCCGCAACCUCCUAUGUGAAGGCUUUGUUCAAAAAUCUGGCACUAACGCGGUUGGAGCAGCCUUGGAAAAAUUCUCGACUUACAAUGGCCAAAAGAUAGAUAUCCACGUAACUGUAAGGAAGGAUCCCUUUUUCGGAGAUUGGUGGUUGAUAAUCAACGGAGUAUCUAUCGGGUAUUGGCCGAGGUCGCUCUUCACAUCUAUGCAGGACUUCGCGGAUCGCGUGAGCUUUGGUGGGGAGAUCGUGAAUGCACAGAUCGGAGGCGAGCAGCACACAGAAACCACUAUGGGGAGUGGCCACUUUUCCUGGGAAGGGUUCGGCAAGGCGUGCUCCAUGGAUCAAAUCUACGUGUACAAUGAGCGGGGCACAAAGGCAUGGCCCCAUGUUACUGAUAUCUCGACCACAAAUACACAUUGUUACGAUUUAUCACUCGGGACCAACGACUUGGGAACUUAUAUCUACUUUGGGGGACCCGGUAGAAACGUUAAUUGCCCCU